ACAUGAAUUGCAGGGGGUGGAUCAACUACAUAUUGCCAUCAAUUUCUGUAAUAUUUGCAGGUUUUAUGAUCUGGCAAAGGUAUACCAGCAAAAGGAGGCCACUGGAAGCAUUUAAAAUCAAAGCUCCUCCAGUAAGAAUGCAGUAGAGCAGCUUGUAACAUUGCAAGAAGCUGUCCUUCACGUUGAGGGCUUGAUUCAGAGUGGCAAUGUUGUUCUACUGAAACUACGGCACUCCUUUUUGCUAUAGUACCCCAGGCAACAGACACAGUUGCGCUCUCAUUGAUUGUCAUAGCUGUGGCUCUUGCAUUUGUGCCUCUCAAGUACCUCUUCCUAUUAGCUUUUGUAGAGUCCUUCACAAGAAAUAUGCCCGCAAGAAAAGAAAGCAGCGAAAGAUGGUUCAGGCGUAUGAGAGAGUGGUGGUUAAGGAUACCAGCAGCUCCUGUUCAACUUGUAAAAGUUGAGGACAAGAAGAGGAAAUGAGUAGGAUGACAAACAUGACUUGCAUGUAAAUAGAAGUUGCAAGAUUGUUAUAUCCCUAAGCAAAUCAUCUCCGUAAUUGAGUUUUGUUUGACUGAUAAACCAUGAUUUUCAUUAUUUUCGUAGGUUCUUUUUUUUUUUUUUUGUCUGACAGGACAAAAAGAAAUGGAACAUUUCAGGUUCCUCUUUUUGUGGACACGAAGCUGUGGACGACCUACAGUUUGAGCAUACUGUUUCCGAGUUUUGUGUUUCGGAAUACAGUAGAUUGAGGCAUUUUCCUGUGAUUGUUGAAAAAGUUUAAAUGUAAAUGAAUGAGAAUUGUUCUCCGUCA